AUGUAGCCACGUCCCCUAUGCCCUCCUGGCCUCGCCCCUAACCUGAACAGGAAUGCAAUGUCCGUUGUCCGUUGUCUCUCUGUGUGUGUGUGUGUGCGUGGAGUGCACUUUCGGCAUUUGUUGCCAAUGCUUGGACUGGCUGGUUCUGUCCCAGCAUUGACCGUUUGCCCAGCGGGAUAGGUUUGCAGGCGCGUGUCAGCGGCAGUCGUAAAUGAUGUCCAC
rnacentral:lncRNA from 1 species